rnacentral:rRNA from 1 species
UACGGGGGGGGCGAGCGUUGUCCGAAGUUACUGGGCGUAAAGCGCGUGUAGGCGGGUGUAAGUCCGCUGUGAAAGCCCGGUGCUCAACGCCGGAGGGUCGGUGGAUACUGGCAGUCUUGAAGUGGCUAGGGGGAAAUGGAAUUACCGGUGUAGCGGUGAAAUGCGUAGAUAUCGGUAGGAACACCAGUGGCGAAGGCGGUUCCUGGAGCUAACUUGACGCUGAGGAGCGAAAGCGUGGGGAGCGAACAGG